AUGGAUGGAUCCGGCAAGAGCGAAAUCAGAAUGGGAAUAACAAUUGAGAAGGAACAAGUUGAAAUUGAGUGGCUAGGGUUUAUGAAAGGGGAAAGAAAGAAAUUAAUAGAUCGAACAAAUUUGAUCUGCGUGAUAAGGUCAUGUUUGGUUCAAGCCGACACGACCCCUCUGUUCCCUCUCAUCCCCUCUUUCUACACUCACUCAUUACUUUAC